CAACCAUGUCCUCACUCUACUCCAAAGGUGAAAGUUUACAAAGGAAUCCACACUAACUACAACACUACAGUUGAGUUCUUUAAUGAAAACGUAACAUUUAAAUCUGAAGCAUUUUAUCUGGUUUAUUUUUAACGGUUCAAAUGAAGUGUUGACUUUGGACUUACACUGACCUACAUGACUGGUGAACAAUACUGCUUCCUUUAUUUAGAUUAAAAAUGUGGUGAAAGAAGGACCCAGAAAGCGAAAGGAACUGAACUGAUGCAAUGAGGUUUCCUAGCAACAAGAGAGCAGUGAGUGUCUUGCAGCUAUCCUUCAACACUCUCUCUACAUUAGCUCCCCUAUCACAUCCUCCAUCUGGGCCGAGGGAGCACCAUUGUCACGCCACACAACAGCCCCUUUGGCACCAUGACAGUGUAACAUCCCAAAGCUGCUUUACCUCAGUGCCUAACUUGCCAGCAUGAGAGAAAAGAAGCAGGCACACAUCAUACUGCAAGUGGCCUAAUCACUUUGACUAUACAUCUGCACUGGCCGUUUUCACACUGCAAAUCAAAAGCCACCUAACUAAUCAGAGUCUUCAAUCCAUUCACUGCUAUCCUACAUUUGGAAAGUGAACGCUUUUAUUUUGUGGCUGAGCAAAGUAUGUAACUGGCCCGGAUGAAACCACCGGCACUCUCUUUUUUCUCUUGUGGUGUCUGACAGUGGUGUCUAAUGUCUCUAUUGCUGAGGCUAUUAACAACCAAAGAAACCACUUAAGAGCAAAAUGAAAGUAAAUGUUUUGCCAUUUGUUUGUCUUAUGACUUUUAAGUCAUGUUGUGUGACCCUUGACUUAUUGAAAUCCUAAUAAUUGAAGUCUAAUUACUUUAAUGAUGUAUUAUUGUGAAGCAUAUAAAAAAGAUCAAUAUACCGUAUGUAACAAAAUAAAUACCAAGAACAAAAUGUAUAUCACAUAAUAAAUGUUUUUAACCUAGA